rnacentral:sRNA from 1 species
UUAUUUAGAAGAACAAACACUUGUUCUUUCUGCCAAUAACCUUAUGUUAUCUUUUUAAUAUAAGACAUAAUUUAGAAUGCCAAGCUUGGAGGCCUCUGAUGAAUUGUAAUGGACCACCUGUUUCUCUUCAACUUGGAGAACAUUCCCAUUAUAUUAUGACUGCAUAACAUUGCUAGUUAUAUAUUAUUAAAAUUAUCACUAUAUUGCUCUCAAAAUUGUAUUGGAAUAAAACUGUAUGCUAAACUUGAUUAAACUUUAAUCGGAGUUUUGCUUUUCUCAAUAUAGUGCUCACCAGCGAGGGUAUUGUUUUCAUCUCAGACUUCUCCCCAUCCAAGCCUCCCUCAGGCCCUGGGAAAAAAGUUUACAUAUCCAGCCCACACUCUAGCCCAGCUCAUAACAAGCUGGCCACAGCCACAGGUGCCAAGAAAGCUCUAAAUAAAGUAAAAAUUUUAAUCACUCAAGAGAAACCUAGUGCUGAAUUCAUAACUCUCAAUGAUUGCCUUCAGCUGGCAUACCUGCCUUCAAAAAGGAAUCACAUGUUGUUGCUCUAUCCUCGAGAGAUUUUAAUCCUUGACCUUGAGGUGAAUCAGACGGUGGGUGUGAUUGCAAUAGAACGC